rnacentral:rRNA from 1 species
GACGAACGCUGGCGGCGUGCUUAACACAUGCAAGUCGAGCGGAGCGGUGGACGGGUGCGUAAUACCUAGGAAUCUGCCUGGUAGUGGUGGAUAACGUUCGGAACCGGCCGCUAAUACCGCAUACUCUCAGAUGAGCCUAGGUCGGAUUAGCUAGUUGUUGAGGUAAUGGCUCACCAAGGCUACGAUCCGUAACUGGUCUGAGAGGAGGAUGAGUCAAACUGGAACUGAGAAACGGGCAAGACUCCUACGGGAGGCAGCAGUGGGGAAUAUUGGACAAUGGGCGAAAGCCUGAUCCAGCCAUGCCGCGUGUGUGAAGAAGGUCUUCGGAUUGUAAAGCACUUUAAGUGGGGAGGCGUUACCGACAGAAUAAGCACCGGCUAACUCUGUGCCAGCAGCCGCGGUAAUAC